rnacentral:rRNA from 1 species
GAUACGCUACGGCAGGCUAAUACAUGCAGUCGAACGGUGUCUUCGGACAUAGUGGCGCACGGGUGCGUAACACGUAUGCAACCUACCUUACAUUGGGGGAUAGCCUUUCGAAAGGGAGAUUAAUACCGCAUAAGACAGUAGCUGGGCAUCCAGCAGCUGUUAAAGAUUUAUCGAUGUAAGCUGGGCAUGCGUCCAAUUAGCCAGUUGGUGAGGUAACGGCUCACCAAGGCAAUGAUUGGUAGGGGAACUGAGAGGUCAAUCCCCCACACUGGCACUGAGAUACGGGCCAGACUCCUACGGGAGGCAGCAGUAGGGAAUAUUGGGCAAUGGACGCAAGUCUGACCCAGCCAUGCCGCGUGCAGGAUGAAGGCGUUAUGCGUUGUAAACUGCUUUAUAUACAGGAAGAAACGACUCUUGCGAGAGGCAUUGACGGUACUGUAUGAAUAAGCACCAGGCUAACUCCGUGCCAGCAGACCGCGGUAAUACGGAGGGUGCAAGCGUUGUCCGGAUUUAUUAGGGUUUAAAGGGUGCGCAGGUGGUUUAUCAAGUCAGUGGUGAAAGACGGUCGCUCAAACGAUUGCAAGUGCCAUUUGAAACUGGUACGACCUUGAGUAAAGUAGAGGUGGGCGGAAUUGAUAGUGUAACGGUGAAAUGCAUACGAUAUUAUACAAGAACUCAAUUGCGUAGGCAGGAUCAACUUGGGCUUCUACAUGCACACUCAUGCACGAAGCG